rnacentral:tmRNA from 1 species
GGGGGCGUAAUGGUUUCGACGGGAUUGUUGAGACGAAAGUAGCGGGUAGAGGAUUCUCGUGGGCCUCUUUAAAAAACGGGAAACUAAAAAUAAACGCUAACAACGAAAAUUACGAAUUAGCUUUAGCUGCUUAAUUGCAGCUAACCGUCAGUCCGGGGUUCCUGCACCUUGGGUAGCUGGCGUCAUUAAGCCAGGCCUUUUGCACGGGAAGGUUAAAUGCUAGAACUGGUUCGAUGGUAGCCUUGAGUUGGACUGGAUUUUAAAGGCUGGCGGAUUCAGAAGCCUGCCCUUGGGCGUCUGAUGAAGCGAGAUCCAAAAUGAGGGAUACACCCGUAGAAGCUUUUGUGGAUAUGGUUUCGGACAGGGGUUCGACUCCCCUCGCCUCCACCA